AGUUAGAAAAUUAAUUUGAGCCAUGGUGAAUCCACUGUCACUUCCCCUGAAAGUCGCAUUCAUUCUCUCUUUCUCCCUCACCACCAUCUCCAAACCCCCCAAUUUCAACUCCAAGAAACCCUCCGCUUCUGCCGGAGACAUACUGGCACUCCUGGGCACACCUCAACAAGCUUUAUCUGUUGAUCCUCAAGUUGCCGCUCAACUCAAAUCAUGCUUCAAAUUCCUCGUUCCCUUUAAUCCCACUCUACCUACUCUUCCUUCCGAGUUGACUCAGUCGGAAAUUAGGUUUCCACGGCGGAUGCUUCAUUCGAAAGUUAGCCGUGAGAAUGAGCUCGUGUGGUCACCGCCCGCACCGGUGUUUGAGAUCGCUCGACUUGCUUUUGAUUCUGGUGCUGAUCCGGCCUCUAUUCAACGUGCCCUUGAUCCAACCAUCAUCUAUGUACCUGAUGUUGAAGGAUCAAAUGAAGAACGAUGUGAACUUACAAGAACUCCUUAUGGAAGGCGCUUUAUAAACGAGGAAUUGAAUUCAUACAUGGCAUUUUUGUUCAAAUUAAUUGCUGAUCGCGGCCCUGAAGUUGGGUUGAAUGUGUCAUUGAAUCGAUUUGACUUCUUUCAUGGUCAUCUUUUCAUUGCUGCAGACGGGCGAGUUGGUAUAUUGUUUCAUGCUAAAGAAUAUCCGGCAUAUGAUAAACAAGUCUUUCCAUACAACAUGGGCUAUUGCCAAAAAGGCUCGAAUGUGACGUAUGAUGACUCAAUGAAUCUACGCAACAUUUUGUGGUUAGCCCCUUUGCCAAGUAACUCCACAAACGAUUGGUCCGCACCUGGUGUGCUGGUGGUACUGGAUGCACAUCCCGGAGGAAUCAUCUAUCGGGAUAUCAUACCCAAAUAUGUAAGCUACGCAAGAACAAUAUAUGAAGAGUAUUUUGGGGAGUUAGUAGUUGAUGUUAACUACCUAAAUGUAGGAGCUGCAGAGCCCGACUAUCAGAUAUUCAUUUGCUAACAUUUGAUCCUUUUCAGGUCAGUUGUAUACUAUAUAGACAGGUCAAAACGAGAAGUUAGAAGUGUGUCCGUUGGGUCGGUUGCAUUCAAUAUGAUCACUUGAGGAUUCCAAAUCAUGAUGCUAUGAGCUCGAAUGAUGGGAGUUUGAUCAUCAUUUGGAAAAUGUUGUUGGGUGGCGUCGUACUGAGUCAUGUGUUGGAUAUAGUCCAUUAGAUGAAAAGUUUCAUUGUCCUUAGGAAAAGGUUUUAGGCAAAUCGCAAUAAGUCAGGGUUUCUGUGUUAUUUAAACAAUGUUGUACAACUCAUACAAAACAUCUGUAAUAAGCAUGGACUAGCAUUAUUAAGGAAAUCUUAUUUAUAAAAA